AAGCAUAUCAAUAAGCGGAGGAAAAGAAACUAACAAGGAUUCCCCUAGUAACUGCGAGUGAAGCGGGAAAAGCUCAAAUUUAAAAUCUGGCGGUCUCUGGCCGUCCGAGUUGUAAUCUAGAGAAGUAAUGCCCGUGCUGGACCGUGUAUAAGUCUCCUGGGAUGGAGCGUCAUAGAGGGUGAGAAUCCCGUCUUUGACACGGACUACCAGUGCAUUGUGGUAUGCUCUCAAAGAGUCGAGUUGUUUGGGAAUGCAGCUCAAAAUGGGUGGUAAAUUCCAUCUAAAGCUAAAUAUUGGCGAGAGACCGAUAGCGAACAAGUACCGUGAGGGAAAGAUGAAAAGAACUUUGGAAAGAGAGUUAAACAGUACGUGAAAUUGCUGAAAGGGAAACGCUUGAAGUCAGUCGCGUUGGCCAGGGAUCAGCCUUGCUUUUGCAUGGUGUACUUUCUGGUUGACGGGUCAGCAUCAAUUUUGACCGCUGGAAAAGGGCCUGGGGAAUGUGGCAGCUUCGGCUGUGUUAUAGCCCCUGGUCGCAUACAGUGGUUGGGAUUGAGGAACUCAGCACGCCGCAAGGCCGGGUUUCGACCACGUUCGUGCUUAGGAUGCUGGCAUAAUGGCUUUAAGCGACCCGUCUUGAAACACGGACCAAGGAGUCUAACAUGCCUGCGAGUGUUGGG
rnacentral:rRNA from 1 species